UUCCUGGCACAUUAAAACUGGGUGCUGGACCGAGACUCGAACUCGAGUUCGAGUCUCAGUCCGGCACUCAGUUUUAAUCUGCCAGGAAGUUACAUUUCUACUAACUUUCCUAUCAUUAAAUAGCGAGUACUUCUUGGAUACAAUCCCUUUUUCAUUUAUUAACACUGUAUUU